CUUUUCGAGUUCCUCCGUAUGCCGUUUGGCCUCAAGGGGGCAGCGCAGACUUUUCAGAGAUUGAUGGACUCAGUGUUGCAGGGCCGCUCCUUCGUUUUUGU